UGGAGUUACUUGGUUUAACCAGUUUGACUUCCCGCUUGUGUGUAUAGCACCAGGCCAUGCAGGGUUUGGCCCUUCGAAUAAGUGAGCCCACGUUUACUAUGACUUCUGUGUGCACAGGGGCCAUUGAUGAAGCCUUGAGAAUAUGAGGAAUUGUAAGGAAUGGCCCAAAUGCUUCAGAAAUGUAUAACCUUGAUCAAAGCUGCACUCAGAAUGUGUACCCUUCCACGUCAACGCAGGACCAACUACCGCACGGCCCCCUUCCAUGACCCCAGUGUGGCGGAGGGAUGCUGGACGCGCCGGCUGGAAUUCAGUCCUGCCCCUUGUUGGGUAUCUGAAAGCAGGGCUUGUCCAGUGAAUAGAUUAGAAAAGGAUAUGCCCACUUGUCCCCAUACUUGAAAGCCGGAGAAAGCCCUGCUGUGAAGAGAACAAGCAGAACCUGUCUGGUGGCUUGUCAUUUCAGUGACAACGCGGACCUGUCACAGUUCCCCGGAGAUGCUGGUGCUGCAGACUCCUCAGACAAGAGGAAGGCAAGAGGAAGACACGGGCCUUGGCGAAGAGGCAGAGCAUGAAAAGCAGGGCACUGAGAAUAGGCAAGUUGAUAGAGCCAGGAAGCAGGUGAGUGUUUGCUCAGGGCUGAGGGAGUUGGAGG